CAGCGAGACUGCAGGGGAAAAAAAAUGGAAGUGGCUGAGCAAGCGGAGGUUUUUGUUGUUUCUUUUUUUUUUUUUUUUUACUUGAAACAAAGUCUCAGCACAGCAGCCCGAGGAGCGGCGAUGCCAGGCGACGGUCUGAGAGGAGGACUAAGGCGCUAGUGCAGAUUUGUUGGAAAGUGAAGGUCAGUUGUUACAAACUGCUCAGGGAGACAAGCUGACAGGAAGAUAAAAGGAAAACACUCCUGGAGCCGAAAGAUGGAGGCCUUCAUCCAUUCUGAGAACAUUGUAUUCUGGUAGAGAGGCUUAAGAUAUUCCCAUUGAUUCUCCAGUCGCAGUCCUGUUGCAAUUCUGAGCAGCCUGAGAGGACGUUUUGGGAACAACUUUGAAGUCACACUCUAUGUCUCAGCUAAGAUUUUUAAGCUUUACUGGGCUCAGUAGAGCUGGCCAGUCUUCAACAAUAAAGACAAAAGUCUUGAACAUUGGAGGGACCAGCAGAAGGAGGAGGUGUCCAUUUAAGCAAAUUUAGUGCAUUAUUGCACAAACCAGGAGUACUAUUCAUAGACAAAUAUCCAGGAUGUCAGCUGAUUUUUUUAAAGAAACAGGAUUUGCAGGAUCAUUGGUUUCCUGAAAAGGACUUUGGUGACUGACAGUCCAGCGUAAAUGGGUAUAAAAAGGACCCUUUUCACUGAUCCAUUGAAGGUUUUGUUUUUACAUGUCAUAGAAAUCAGGAGAUUUUUGGAAAGGACCUCAGAUUUGGCAAUUUUGUGUUAAAGAUUCUGGACAUCAGGAAAAAAAUUUUCAUGGAAAGGGUCACUGGGCACUGGAACAGACUGCCCAGGGAGGGGGUUGAGUCACCUUCCCUGGAGGUGUUUAAGGGACCGGUGGGUGAGGUGCUGAGGGGCAUGGUUUAGGGAGUGUUGGGAGUGGUUGGACUCAAUGAUCCAGUGGGUCCUUUCCAACCCAGUGAUUCUAUAUGCAUGUAUCUUAGAAUCCAGAAGAUUUUACUAAGUACAUAAAAAUAUAUAAUGCAUUUUAAAAAUAGAUUAAAUUAAAAAUUAUUUACAAAUUGAGUCAAAUUGGUCAGAUCUAUCAGUAACAUGAUCUCUUGCAACGUAAAACUUUGACCAAAUACUAUAUAAAUAAUGGUCUGCAAGAUAAUAUAGCAUCAGUAGCAGCAAUUUUAAAAACACCCCUUCAUUGGCAGAUUAAAACAAGCGAAGUCUAGAUAAUAAUAUACACAGUGGUGUGUAAUUAUUUUUUUCCAUUCAAGACCAAAUUGACUUUGACAAAUUUAAGAUGUAUGGUCACAACAGUUCCAUUCCCCACAGUUACAGUGAAAGAGAGCAAAUAGCAAAUAUGAAGAAUACUGUUUUCAACAAGCUGCAAAUACGAUUGUAGAAAUGCUUUUUUUUUUAAAUGUCUUGGUAGUUCUUAAGAAUUUAGAUGAACUCAAGCAUCCUUGAGCUGCUGUUUGUAUAAUCCAUUUUGUGAAGAUAUUAUGUCAGUGUUGUCCUGUUUGAGUCUUAAUCUGCAUAAUUAUAGUUAGAAUAUUGGGUUAAUUAAAAAAAAUCCACAACAUUAAACUUCUAUUCAAAUAAUAAGCAAACUUUUGCCAUUUUCUUUUUUAAAUUCUUGUCAUUAUAAAGGGUAGACAAAAUGGCCUACAAAACCAUUUUUAAAAAGCAUUUUAAGAACCAACAGAGAUAUACAUGCAUAGGUGUCCUUAUGUAUUCUUUUAUGAUAUAUUUGUUCAUAAUUCUACCAACUUCUCUGAAUGCGCACAGUGAUACAUCAUGGAGAGAUGAAUUAGCAGUUGUUAAUUGACUGGGAAACACUCGACAUAUUUUGGUGCUGCAAAAAUAUUAAAACUAUCCAGUAACAUUAAUAAGAGUUGUAAAUGAUACCGUGUUAACUGGUAAUUUUCAGAACUUUGUGUCAAAGCAGCACAUUUUUCAUAUUUUUCAAAUUAAUAGGAAACUGAGUGAAACUUCUGUUACUGCAAAAGCUACUGGAGUCUUUGUUGGGUUACAGUGUGCUAAUCUGAGAUGGGUAAAACAUGACAGGGUAAUUUCAUAGUAGAGGAGGGUCAGAAAGGAUUAGUAGUGAAAUUCUACCAACAUAUAUUUUUCAAAACAAAUGUAAAUCGGGUUUAACUAAAUAUUUUUAGUUCUAAUUAAUUGCCUUUAAAAGUGUAUACAAAUCAAUGGAGAUUUUGAGGGGUUUCCUAAUAUUUUUUUAAUUAAUUGAAACCUGAAACAUAAUUGUCCAUUUUCAAAGAUUCAAGCACUGAAAGAUUAAUACCUAUUAUUCAAUUUUGUAAGAAAAAAAUGUCUAAUGGAAAGUUCACUAAUUUCUUAUCUGCAAGCCAAAUCUAAAAUGACAGCAUGCAUAACAUUUGAAGACAAACUGUUGCAGUGCUUACUAUUUUUUUCCUACAUUUUCAGCUUUCUGAUUAAUUUAACCUUUGGUGAUAAUUAAAUAACCUAAAUCUUUGUCUGAAUUUUUACAGAAAAAAAACUGAACAAAGUACCGUGCUUCUUUCAAACAGUGAUUUGGGUGACUUUGAUCAUCUAUGCGAUUUGUAGGUGAAGACUUUUCACUAGGCAAUACAAAUUGUCUUUGCAUUUUUUCACAAUCUUGUUGCAGACCAAGAGCACAAUUCUUCUAUUUUUUUUUCUCUGCCUCAGGCUCUCCAAGUCCUUAAAGCAUGUUUUUAAAAAAUAUUCUUUUAAGAUGAUUUGUGCUAAACAUUUUUCCUGAUACUGAUACCUUCAAUACUCAAAGAUAAAUUUCUGAUUGACUUCUGUGCUGAAAGAUCAGUUUCAAAAUUUUCUCUAUGAUCUCUCUUUCAAUAUUUUUUUAAAGUAAACUGUUAAAUCUACUCAGCAUUAUUAUUCUGAACUCUAAUUCUUUCCACCCAAAUGGAGUUGGGAUAAUUGCAACAGGACUGGAAAUGCUAUGGAGUUAUUGUCAUGAUUAAGUUCAUUGCGAUGAUUAAUAGCAUCAGGGAAAAAGAAACAAACGUAAGACAUAUUCAAAUUAUGUACAUACACAAAACAGUAAGAUAUGGAGGAAGGUGGAGCGGAUAAGCAUUAAAUCAUAAUGGUGAUGAUGAACAGUGUCAGAUUUGUGCUGGAAAUGUUGGAAAAUAGGGCAAAAAAGAUCUCUUCCGACUUCUCAUUUACUGAAUUGGUUUAUAAAAUGUACAUAAAUUAAAAAAAAUAAUCACAGAACUAUCUUUCAUUGCUCUUAAUUAUUCUAUGAAGAAUAGAAAGGAAUUAUAGUUAACAAUUUAAAAAACUGUGUCUUCAGAAGGAAAGCGUGCAAAUAUAUGUAACAAGAGAGAUCCUUGUAUGUUAUGUUUCCUUUUUGGCAAACUUUUCAUAUAUAGAAGAUAUGUAGACAAAAUAUUUACAGAGUCUCAGCACACUGCUAACCAACUCCUUUUCACAAUUAUCCAUAUCCCUUAUGCUAAAUGGAGAAGCCAGAUAAACAACCAUAAACAUUAAAGAUUUUAUGCACAUAUUGCAUCUCCUCCUGUUUUACUGAAUGAAUGGAAUCAUACAUGGAAUCAUAAAAUUCUAUUAAAAGUUGACAGUUAACAACGCAAAACAAAAUUUCUACACUGGACAACAACUGGAGGUUUUCAUUCUUAGCAAAGAGCUUUAUUGGAAAACAUAGGGAUUGUGAUCAAUGGGAGAGCAGAGUUGUGCAGUGUCUAUCUUUCAAGCGAAGCACAUUCUUACUCCACUGCUGGUAAGGGUUAAGUGUUUAUUACGUGCCCAUCAGGGUUUCUACCAAAGACAAAAUAAAGGAAUUGUUCUCGCAGAUCCUUCCUGUAUUGGUUGAGAACUGAAUUGGAAUUCCAUAUGGGAAAUAAAGAGUCUGGAGGAAAGUGGAAUAGCUUUGAAACUUUUGGACACUGGUAUGUUUUUGGAUGGGAACAUUUCAUAUUCAGUAAGCUGUAAUGCAGGAAGAAUUAUUACAUAGUUUUGUACUGCUUGGUUGUGUAUUUAUGUAGGUAUGUAUAUCCACACAAUUACAAUAGUAUACAAUAGAGCAUAAUUUUAAAGGAUGACAAUAGGUCAAAGGUAUCUUAAUAUAUCAAAUUUUAAGACAAUAAUUUCCAUAUAUUUCUUUAUAUUGGCUAAUUUGGGCAGAGAAGUCCUGUUGCUUUCACUCUAAAUCUGAAAAAUAUGCAAAUACUGUGGUGAUAAUUCCAGUAGAAAUUCUUGAUUUUGAUAAUAUUUGUAUGUCUUUUCAGUACUGGCUGCGGAGAACACUGAAAAUCCUUCUUUUCUCUUUACAUAGACUGUAAAAACAAAUAAACAAAUCAACCUCCCUUCCCUCUCUUGUUUUCUUCUGUGCUUUCAUUAUCAGCCUUUGACAUACUGAAGUAAGAUUCUAUAUUAUUUUAUUGCUUAAAAUUACUUACAAGGGCAAAUUUUACCCUUGUUUCUACCUUGUGCAAACACUCACCAGCUUAGAGCUGUUACAUCUAGUAGUUUAAAGGCUGUUAAGGUUAUCUGGCUUAACUCCUUGCCCUUGCUAGACCAGCUUCACAACUUCACAGAAAUUCUCUGGACAAUAGGCUUUGAAAGAGUAUUAGAGGCAGAAUCCACUUGUUAAUUCUUCCCCUAAAGCAGCUUCUGACACUGUUGCUGUCUCCAAGUUUCAGUAACAUACACAAUGCACCUUAGAAUCGCAGAAUCACAGAAUGGCAGGAGUUGGAAUAGACCUCUGGAAAUCAUCUAGUGCAGCAUCCCCUGUUAAAGCAGGUCCACCUAGGCAGGUUUUGAAUGUCUCCAGAGAAAGAGACGUCUUUAGGCAGCCUCUUCCAGUGCUCUGUCAUCCUCACAGUAAAGAAAGUUUUCCUCAUGUUAAGGUGGAACUUCUCAUGUUCCAAUUUGUACCUGUUGUCCUUUGUACUGUCAUUGGGCACUGUUGAGUCUGGCUCCAUCCUCUUGACACCUGCCUUUAGGUAUUGAUGAGAUCCCUCUCAGUCUUCUCCAGGUUAAACACCCUCAGAUCUCUCGGUCUUUCCUCAUAAGACAGAUUCUACAGUCCCCUAAUGAUCUUUGUGGCACCCCCACUGGACUCUGUCCAGUAGUUCUUUGUCUUUCUUGAACUGAGGGGCGUAGAACGGGGCAUAGCACUGUAGAUGUGGCCUCACUAGGGCAGAGUAGAGAGGGAGGGUAACCUCCCUUGACCUGCUAGCCACACUCCUCUUAAUACAUCCCAGGUUACCAUUGGUCUUCUUUCGUAUGAAGAUUCUUGUUGCUCCGUAACUAUCAUUAUGUUUCCAAGAAACUAAA